rnacentral:rRNA from 1 species
AUUGAACGCUGGCGGCAGGCCUAACACAUGCAAGUCGAGCGAGCGGCGGACGGGUGAGUAAUGUCUGGGAAACUGCCUGAUGGAGGGGGAUAACUCCUGGAAACGGUAGCUAAUACCGCAUACUAUCAGAUGAGCCCAAAUGGGAUUAGCUAGUAGGUGAGGUAACGGCUCACCUAGGCGACGAUCCCUAGCUGGUCUGAGAUGAUGACCAGCCACACUGGGACUGAGACACGGUCCAGAAUCCUACGGGAGGAAGCAGUGGGGAAGAUUGCACAAUGGGCGCAAGCCUGAUGCAGCCAUGCCGCGUGUAUGAAGAAGGCCUUCGGGUUGUAAAGCACUUUCAGCGGGGAGGCGUUACCCGCAGAAGAAGCACCGGCUAACUCCGUGCCAGCAGCCGCGGUAAUAC